rnacentral:lncRNA from 1 species
UCCCUGAUGAAGAGGCUGCCCCUCUUCCUCUACCUCUGCCACUGCUUGGUGGUCGGGCUGAAGCUGCUGACUGUACGACACUACCUGAGGUCAUCUGCUGGGAUGGUGUAACCAAAGUCGCCUGAGGACAUUCUCGUGCAUAAUGUCCCUCCUGCCCACAUCUAUAGCAGGCUAUAGAUCCCAACAAACAAGCUCCUCUGUGCGGUCUCCCACACCUAUUGCAAACUGGA